CAGGGGGAACCUGAUGCAGCAACGCCGCGUGAGGUGAUGAAGGCCUUCGGGUUGUAAAGCUCUGUCUUUGGGGACGAUAAUGACGGUACCCAAGGAGGAAGCCACGGCUAACUACGUGCCAGCAGCCGCGGUAAUACGA
rnacentral:rRNA from 1 species